GACGAACGCUGGCGGCGUGCCUAAUACAUGCAAGUAGAACGCUGAAGGAGGAGCUUGCUUCUCUGGAUGAGUUGCGAACGGGUGAGUAACGCGUAGGUAACCUGCCUGGUAGCGGGGGAUAACUAUUGGAAACGAUAGCUAAUACCGCAUAAGAGUAGAUGUUGCAUGACAUUUGCUUAAAAGGUGCAAUUGCAUCACUACCAGAUGGACCUGCGUUGUAUUAGCUAGUUGGUGGGGUAACGGCUCACCAAGGCGACGAUACAUAGCCGACCUGAGAGGGUGAUCGGCCACACUGGGACUGAGACACGGCCCAGACUCCUACGGGAGGCAGCAGUAGGGAAUCUUCGGCAAUGGACGGAAGUCUGACCGAGCAACGCCGCGUGAGUGAAGAAGGGUUUCGGAUCGUAAAGCUCUGCUGUAAGAGAAGAACGAGUGUGAGAGUGGAAAGUUCACACUGUGACGGUAUCUUACCAGAAAGGGACGGCUAACUACGUG
rnacentral:rRNA from 1 species